AAUCUAGGAUUUACCAUUAUGAUGAAAGAAAGAGAUGUGAUGAAUGGAUGUAAAAUCUCGGAGCUGUAGUGUAAUGAUGGGGUCAUUUCAUCAUGAUGGGUAGAUAUGACAUGCAGUAUUCAGAGCCUUCAAAAAGGGUUUCAUUUAUCAUACUCGAAGAGGCAUCAAAGUGUUUGGGUAUGACUCAAAGCAAAAGAAUCGUUACAAUUUGCCUUUGAACAAACUCAGGAAAUAUAUUGAUCGUAUAGGUUUAUGCUGCUAGGAAAACAGCUAAUGAUGAUUCAGUCUAUGUAUUUUGUGCAUAGCUUGAGGAAAUGUUCAUUAAAACCUUACACCAUGUAUGCCGCUACACCCUUUGGGAACUUAAACAUAAAAGCUGGAAUUUCAAAACCUUAUUAAGUACAAUUUGAGUUUACAGAAAUAGAAUAAUAUAUUUGAAUUCUGGAAUUGUGUGGCCAUAGGUGAGAGAGGAAACUACACCAGAUGAUGUUUGGAGUAAAAAGAAAGCUCUGAUUUCCAAAUGUGCUGGUGCAUAGUGUUCAAUAACAGCAGUAUUGGUCGAUGAAGAUGGUGACUGAGUUCAUUUGAGCUGAUGUUCAAAUGGAUAUUUAACAAAGUGGGCCACGAAUGGGUUUCUAAGGAGAGGACAGAAUACCAGAAAUGGAGCAGAUGAAGCCAGAAGUAGGCUAGACAAGGCAAGAGCAAGCACAGAAGUGAGAAAGCAUGGCUGUGACAGAUGUGAAUGCUUAACAAUACAAAUGUGUUCUCAGUAGCCAGGCUGUGAACCAGAAAUUUGCAAUGACUGGGUAUGGGAAAGUUCAUCAUGGUAGCGGUCACCGGAGAUGAUGAUUCUGAAUGCCAGCAGAGUUCGAACUUACGCUGUUCAUAAAGUGGACUGAUAUGUAUCCACUUACAAUUUUACCAGCAUCUAAAACACUAUUUAUAUCCUGUCUGAAAUUGGCAGGGCAGCUCAUAUGUUCUCCGUGUAAUGUACUGUAACUACACUGUAUCUAGUACGUAAACGUUUGCUUUCUUAAUAUAUUGCUACUGUUCUUUUUAUCUUCCAGACACUGCGUAUUUAUGCCUAAUCUUUUGUAUUUUCAGUUCAGCACAGGCUAAAACUGUCAGCCUCAUUUAUCUGACACUAUUAAAAAUGCAGACAAAGGCUUUCAGCCAGCAUGUGAACAUUGAAGUUGCUACUUUCUAUGUACCCAGUUUUUGCUUAUGGGAUGUCAUUGAUCUAUAUCUGAUCAAUAUUUUUAAAAUUUCCUUUGAGAUCUGCUCAGCAGCCAUCUGUAAUCCAGUGUGUGGAGGAGAAAGCUGAGUGAGUCAGUUUCUUCAUUCCUCUUCAGAGUCAUUUUGCUCUGACACUGCCUUGAUGCGCUAGGCUUAUAUGAGAAAUGGGAAUGCAGGAGGAUGUAUGAAUGAGAUGAAGAAAUGGGAGGAGCUGAGAUGAGCACACGUGGUAGGGAAUCCGGAGCUGUCUGAGCAUAAGAGAAUUUCAUAGGAGUAAAAAAAAAAAACAACAAAGAGAGAUGUAAGGUGAAAAAAAGAGCCCUGAGUGAAUGGCAGAUAUAUCUUAAACAUUGUUAUUUAUGAUCAGUAAGUACACCGUUGCCAAAUUCAAGCUGAACUGAAGAAGCCAAAUUUUGCA
rnacentral:lncRNA from 1 species